rnacentral:lncRNA from 10 species
GUGGAGGUAGAGGAUGAUUUCAAUUAGAAAUAAUGACAGCAAUAGACGCUUCCAAUGAAGAUAUCGUGGCCACCAAAGGACAAAGGCAAGAAGUUAAUUCCUGAAGUCGAGAACCUGACAGGAAGCCAGCUGGCAAUGAAGUCUGGGAAAUAUCGUGCCCCAGCAUCACAAGGCAGAGAAUUGAAGAGUGAUAUGGAAUCAAGAGACAAUAAAUGAAUAACUGGCAUAUACACUGUGAAUGUUAGGGCAUGAAUAAAAUUUUGAGACCUCAUUCUAUUGAAAUAAUUAGUAAUGUAAAACACUCACUACAUUUUAAGCCAUUGUAUUUUGGUUAUUUGUUAAUGAUAAAUGGAAGAUAAUAUUUGGUGUUGAAGAGGAUAAGAACUGAUUAAAGAAUGACUUGGUUUACAAAACUUUUAAACUCUUUUCUAUCUCCAGGCAAGAAACUAAUUAAUUGAUUCUUGUACUUAAAAUAUAUUAGUGAAUAAAACAAAUACUUUUCAGUUCUCAUGGAACAGACAACAAUAAGCAUAACAAGUAAGUAUAUUAUAUAGUAUGUUAGGAGUUUAUGAAUGCUAUAGAAAAAGAAAAAAUAGAGAUUAGAGUAAGGGAGACUGGUGGAAAGAAAC